AAAACGCUGGAUGUGAAAACAGGUGCUUUUACCCUCAGUAUGCUGACCAGGAUCAACACACCACCAGCCAAAUGCUCAGAAGGUGACUCAAGAACUGAAGCAGACACUGCCAGACCCUCCUGGAACCCCACUGAGCAUCCAGUCUUGCUUAAUCCACCCGCUGGGAAUCCAGGCAGCCAGUGUCAUCUUCCACCCCUGGACUGUCCCUGCAGCUCCUCCAUGCCUCUCUGCCUUCCCAGAUUGUAUUCCCACUUGAUUUCACCCUGAUAUGUUAAGAGAGCUGGGAGAGGUGACACUGUCAGGUGGAAAAGGUUAUGAUGAACAAAGGAGCAGCAAUCCAGGACUGUCCUGCAGAGACCAGGGAAGACUCAAGACAAAGUAAAUAGUUAUAAAGAACAGAAAAAAAUAUUCUGUAAAAUUGGGCAAUUCUUCCCUCAUUUAGACAUAAUUGAUAGUUUCUGAUUGAAUACUGCUGAUUUCUGAACUAAAAGAAAAAAAAAUUAAUUAUCCAGACUGCUUAGCUUCAUGUUUCUUUUCAUUUUGAUUUGCACAUGUUAUAUUGGAUCAAAUUCAUAUGACAUUUGAUCUCAGAACAUGGUUUAAAGUUUUGUUUAAUAUCAGUUGGCUCAUUAAACUGGCU